rnacentral:rRNA from 17 species
GGGUUGUGAGGUUAAGCGACUAAGCGUACACGGUGGAUGCCCUGGCAGUCAGAGGCGAUGAAGGACGUGCUAAUCUGCGAUAAGCGUCGGUAAGGUGAUAUGAACCGUUAUAACCGGCGAUUUCCGAAUGGGGAAACCCAGUGUGAUUCGUCACACUAUCGUUAACUGAAUACAUAGGUUAACGA